AAGGCCAAACUUCAUCCUAACACACCCUCCUUUGCGUGAUGAUGAUGAUGAUGGAGACGAUGGAGUUGGGAUUUGGAAUGUUGAAAAGGCUGCAAGUCUUUCAUCACGGAAUUGAGCAUCUUGCACAAGCGGAUUCGAAACCCUACUAGGAGGUGACCCACAAAAAAAUGGAGGUGACGAUGCUACUUGUGUCGCAGAUUGUUCUAUUCCGAAAUCCUCCUGCUACAAACAAACCAUAAACAUGUUAAAACGAGUUCACCCUGAAAACAAAAAUAUUAAAACCAUGUGUGCUUAAACUCAAAACAAAAAAUUUUGAAACUCCGUAAGUUUGAUUUGUCCAGAAAUUUUAUGUUUAAAGGAUCAUAACGUCGUCACGCGAAAGCCACAGAUUAGCGACAAACAGAGUUAUAUUCAUAUUUUUCUAAGAUUUUCACGUAUUUAAAAGGUCUUUGAAGAUCAUAUAGACUCAUGUUUAGAUAUUUCAUGUAUUUUGAAGAGCUUGGAACUUUGAAGGAGCAUAUCCUUUUAGUGUACUCGAAUAUGAUUCAAACACAAGUCUCAAAUGGAAGUGCGAAAAGUUAGAGCUGGGAUUCAAC
rnacentral:lncRNA from 1 species